rnacentral:rRNA from 1 species
CAGCGCUGCAAGUGGCGAUCCUAUUUAUUUGGCCUAAAGCGUUCGUAGCUGGUUAAGUAAAUCUCUUGUGGAAUUGUUUGGCUUAACCAAACAACGUGCAGGAGAGACUGCUCAACUAGGGACCGGGAGGAGUCAGAGAUAUGCUGGGGGGAGCGGUAAAAUGCUAUAAUCCUCGGUAGAUCACCUGUGGCGAAGGCGUCUGACUAGAACGGGUCCGACAGUGAGGGACGAAAGCCAGGGGAGCAAACCGGAUUAGAUACCCGAGUAGUCC